CCUCGGCCCGAGUUGUAAUUUGCAGAGGAUGCUUCUGGCGCGGUGCCUUCCGAGUUCCCUGGAACGGGACGCCACAGAGGGUGAGAGCCCCGUAUGGUCGGACACCAAGCCUGUGUGAAGCUCCUUCGACGAGUCGAGUAGUUUGGGAAUGCUGCUCUAAAUGGGAGGUAAAUCUCUUCUAAAGCUAAAUACCGGCCAGAGACCGAUAGCGCACAAGUAGAGUGAUCGAAAGAUGAAAAGCACCUUGAAAAGGGGGUUAAAUAGUACGUGAAAUUGUUGAAAGGGAAGCACUUGUGACCAGACUUGGGCCGGGCGGCUCAUCAGGGGUUCUCCCCUGUGCACUCCGCCCGGCACAGGCCAGCAUCGGUUCUCGUGGGGGGAUAAGACCGUCAGGAACGUAGCACCCUCCGGGGUGUGUUAUAGCCUGGCGGACGAUACCCCCGUGGGGACCGAGGUUCGCGCUCCGCAAGGAUGCUGGCGUAAUGGUCACCAGUGACCCGUCUUGAAACACGGACCAAGGAGUCGUCCAUUAGAGCGAGCGUUUGGGUGUAAAACCCGCACGCGUAAUGAAAGUGAACGCAGGUGAGAGCUUCGGCGCAUCAUCGACCGAUCCUGAUGUUCUCGGAAGGAUUUGAGUAAGAGUUUUAACGGACGGACCCGAAAGACAGUGAACUAUGCUUGUAUAGGGUGAAGCCAGAGGAAACUCUGGUGGAGGCUCGCAGCGGUUCUGACGUGCAAAUCGAUCGUCAAAUAUGAGCAUGGGGGCGAAAGACUAAUCGAACUGUCUAGUAGCUGGUUACCGCCGAAGUUUCCCUCAGGAUAGCAGUGUUGAUCUUCAGUUUUAUGAGGUAAAGCGAAUGAUUAGGGACUCGGGGGCGCUAUAUAGCCUUCAUCCAUUCUCAAACUUUAAAUAUGUAAGAAGCCCUUGUUACUUAGUUGAACGUGGGCAUUCGAAUGUACCAACACUAGUGGGCCAUUUUUGGUAAGCAGAACUGGCGAUGCGGGAUGAACCGAACGCGGGGUUAAGGCGCCAGAGUGUACGCUCAUCAGACACCACAAAAGGCGUUAGUACAU
rnacentral:rRNA from 1 species